rnacentral:SRP_RNA from 1 species
CAUGCUAGCCGGGAAGGUAGCGGCGUCCUGUACCCACAAUCCGCUAUAGUGGGGGUGAUGCCUGCUUUGAGGCUGUUCGAUUUUGUGGCUGCCCUUUAGAGAUGGCGUUGAAAGAUUGAGUCUUGUGCAAUAGAAACCUGUGAACCGUGUCAGAUCCGGAAGGAAGCAGCACUAAGCAGUCACUUUUAUGUGCCACGAGGUCGCUUGGUCCGAGCUGUUAAAAAAGGUAACGCAUAAGAAAGGCAGUCA